UCACCGGGAGCAUUGUAUGAUC
rnacentral:miRNA from 1 species